GAAGCCAAGAGUUUGUAAAUUACAUGCAAUUUUUCGUCGUGGUAUAUUGAAUUAUCUAUCUCGACCUUAUUUAAACCUGAACACAUUUUUACGAAGAUGGUUGGAAAGUUUUCUGUAAUCUCCCACCAGUUUAAAGAAGCAAAAGACAAAGUAGGAUCUUUAACUCAAGAUCCAGGGAAUGAAUUGAAGUUGAAGAUGUACGCCCUUUUAAGCAGGGUUCUUUAGGCAAAUGUAAUACACCAAAGCCUGAGAUUUUGGACUUUGUUGGAAAGUCAAUAUGGAAUGCGUGGAACGAUUUGGGUGAUUUAUCACAGGUUGAUGCACAAAAACAGUAUAUAGCACUUGCAGGAUCUUUACUAGGUGAUUUUGAACUUUGCUGUGUAUUAUAAACACAAAGCUUUUCUGCAAAAUAUUCUGUAUAAACAUCAUUUCUCUGUUGUGUACAUGUGCUUCUCAACAUUGAACUAUAGAACAGAUUUUUUGUCUAACAAUGUUUCUAACAUUACAUUAAGUUUGUUAUAUGUUUACAGUUACUAAAGUUAAAUUUUGUUAAAAACGUUUGACGUGCAAGUGAAACACCUUAGUCAUUCAUUAAGGAGAUGAAACAUCUUUGAA